rnacentral:rRNA from 1 species
UACGUAGGGGGCAAGCGUUGUCCGGAUUUAUUGGGCGUAAAGAGCGUGUAGGCGGCCAGGUAGGUCUGCUGUGAAAACUCGAGGCUUAACCUCGAGAUGUCGGCGGAAACCAUCUGGCUAGAGUCCGGAAGAGGAGAAUGGAAUUCCCGGUGUAGCGGUGAAAUGCGCAGAUAUCUGGAGGAACACCGGUGGCGAAGGCGGCAUCCUGGACCGACACUGACACUGAGGAGCGAAAGCCAGGGGAGCAAACGGG